rnacentral:rRNA from 1 species
CGAAAGCCUGUCUCAGUUCGGAUUGGAGGCUGAAACCCGCCUCCAUGAAGUUGGAUUCGCUAGUAAUCGCGCAUCAGCCAUGGCGCGGUGAAUACGUUCCCGGGCCUUGUACACACCGCCCGUCAAGCCAUGGGAGCCGGGGGUGCCUGAAGUUCGUGACCGCAAGGAGCGACCUAGGGCAAAACUGGUGACUGGGGCUAAGUCGUAACAAGGUAAC